AACGAACGCUGGCGGCAUGCCUAACACAUGCAAGUCGAACGAGAACUUCGGGUCUAGUGGCGCACGGGUGCGUAACGCGUGGGAACCUGCACUUAGGUUCGGAAUAACUCUCCGAAAGGGGUGCUAAUACCGGAUAAUGUCUUCGGACCAAAGAUUUAUCGCCUUUGGAUGGGCCCGCGUUGGAUUAGCUAGUUGGUAGGGUAAAAGCCUACCAAGGCGACGAUCCAUAGCUGGUCUGAGAGGAUGAUCAGCCACACUGGGACUGAGACACGGCCCAGACUCCUACGGGAGGCAGCAGUGGGGAAUAUUGGACAAUGGGCGAAAGCCUGAUCCAGCAAUGCCGCGUGAGUGAUGAAGGCCUUAGGGUUGUAAAGCUCUUUUACCCGGGAUGAUAAUGACAGUACCGGGAGAAUAAGCUCCGGCUAACUCCGUG
rnacentral:rRNA from 1 species